rnacentral:rRNA from 1 species
AUUGAACGCUGGCGGCAGGCUUAACACAUGCAAGUCGAGCGGGGUGAUGGUGCUUGCACUAUCACUUAGCGGAGGACGGGUGAGUAAUGCUUAGGAAUCUGCCUAUUAGUGGGGGACAACAUCUCGAAAGGGAUGCUAAUACCGCAUACGUCCUACGGGAGAAAGCAGGGGACCACUUGUGACGUUGCGCUAAUAGAUGAGCCUAAGUCGGAUUAGCUAGUUGGUGGGGUAAAGGCCUACCAAGGCGACGAUCUGUAGCGGGUCUGAGAGGAUGAUCCGCCACACUGGGACUGAGACACGGCCCAGACUCCUACGGGAGGCAGCAGUGGGGAAUAUUGGACAAUGGGGGGAACCCUGAUCCAGCCAUGCCGCGUGUGUGAAGAAGGCCUUAUGGUUGUAAAGCACUUUAAGCGAGGAGGAGGCUCUUUUGGUUAAUACCCAAGAUGAGUGGACGUUACUCGCAGAAUAAGCACCGGCUAACUCUGUGCCAGCCGCCGCAGUAA